AGGGCGACCAGAGGACAGGAUGGAAUGUGGAAGUGAGGGUUGGUAGUCCGGAGGACAGAUGUUAUUAUGGCGGUGUCGCGUCAGGCUUUCUGCGGGAUCAAAAGAAAGAAAGUUACAGUGAAGUAGAAAGUAGGGCAGCAGUUAAAGAAGAAGGAAGAAGAGAUGUGUGCCAUGUUGAAGUAGCGGCUGCCCCUCCUGCCCGUCACUUCUAGAAUCCUCCAUCUCAACCUCUGCUCUGAUCUGCUGUGCCUUUGCCAAGUGAUCACGAGUUUAUUGCAACGGUGCAUCCCAACACAAUCAUGAUUACAUCUUGCCUGAAGAAGGGGCCUGAGUUGCCUCGAAAGCUUGCAUAUUGUAAUCUUUUUAGUUAGCCAAUAAAAGGUGUCAUUUUGCUUGGCUUUGUAACUGUAUAUUUUUGUAGAGCAAUUUGAGCUACACUUGUAAGCAAAGGUGAUAUAGAAAUUUUAUUACUGAACAAAUGUUAAGGGACAGAUCAGGAAAAAUGUCAGUUUAAAUAGAACACAUUUUUUAUGGAAUAUUGCUGGAUAACAACUCUUUGACUCUGAGUAGCAUCUUGUUCAUAAAGCUAAAAUAGCAUUUUUCCUUUUUUGACAAAUUUAAUGAUUCACUUUUAUUGUGUUCAAAACCUUGGCUAACAUUUUUUUUAAAUACUAAGGUAAAAAUCUGUAAAUAUAUUUGUGCUCUCCUUCCCUAAUAGUUUUUAACACCUCCCCUUGUUGGCCAUUUUCAUUGUAGUUGUGUUCUAGUUAAAUGCAUUUACCAUUUAUACAUCUUUUUGAUUACUGAAUGUUCUACUCAUAAUAUAUAUAUACAUAUAAAUAUGGGUGUGUGUGUAUCUUUUUUUUUUGAGAAAUAUUGUUCACAGAUCUUUCACUUUUAUUUGUAAACAUACCAUUUAUUUCUUCAAUAAAAAUGUAUGAAUAA